AACGCAAAUUGCACUCCCUGGUAUUCCGGGGAGUAUGCCUGUUUGAGGGUCGUUAGAAUAAAAAUCGAGGCGUCGCUCUUUUUUUAAGGGUGAUCGCGUCGGAAUUGAGCCGUCUUUCAAAUGUUAAUUCAUGUCAAAGUGGCUUAAAAUUCAUCCAUCCGGUACGAUUAAAGCGUAUUUAAGAUCAAUUUUGAUUAAGAACGCGCGAUGACGGACCAUCUCAUGUAGUACGUUUGACCUGGCGUCGUCAGGAUCAUUCGUAUACGAUACUCAAACUUUUGACCUCAAAUCAGGUAAGAAUACCCGCUGAACUUAA
rnacentral:ncRNA from 2 species